rnacentral:rRNA from 1 species
UACAGAGGUCUCAAGCGUUGUUCGGAUUCAUUGGGCGUAAAGGGUGCGUAGGCGGCGCGGUAAGUCGGGUGUGAAAUCUCGGAGCUUAACUCCGAAACUGCAUUCGAUACUGCCGUGCUUGAGGACUGGAGAGGAGAUUGGAAUUCACAGUGGAGCAGUGAAAUGCGUAGAUAUUGUGAGGAACACUAGUGGCGAAGGCGAAUCUCUGGACAGUUCCUGACGCUGAGGCACGAAGGCCAGGGGAGCAAACGGG